rnacentral:rRNA from 1 species
CGGCGGACGGGUGAGUAACACGUGGAUAACCUACCUAUAAGACUGGGAUAACUUAGGGAAACCGGAGCUAAUACCGGAUAAUAUUUUGAACCGCAUGGUUCAAAAGUGAAAGACGGUCUUGCUGUCACUUAUAGAUGGAUCCGCGCUGCAUUAGCUAGUUGGUAAGGUAACGGCUUACCAAGGCAACGAUGCAUAGCCGACCUGAGAGGGUGAUCGGCCACACUGGAACCGAGACACGGUCCAG